AAACCCUGAUUUCCCAAGUCACUGAUGCAGUAUGCAAUGAGUAUGACCUAGUAUGAUGCUAAUGCAAUGUGAAACACAAUCCCAUGCUUCCAAGAAAAAUGAAGGGUAAAUUUUGGGGUAUUAAAACCCUGAUUUCCCAAGUCACUGAUGCAGUAUGCAAUGAGUAUGACCUAGUAUGAUGCUAAUGCAAUGUGAAACACAAUCCCAUGCUUCCAAGAAAAAUGAAGGGUAAAUUUUG
rnacentral:lncRNA from 1 species